GCAGGCUUCAAAAGUACCAGUUUUGGGGGCUGGGGAAUGCGGGUUCGAAUCCCGUCAGGUGCGCCA
rnacentral:tRNA from 42 species